rnacentral:rRNA from 1 species
CCUACGGGAGGCAGCAGUGAGGAAUAUUGGUCAAUGGACGAGAGUCUGAACCAGCCAAGUAGCGUGAAGGAUGACUGCCCUAUGGGUUGUAAACUUCUUUUAUAAAGGAAUAAAACUAAGCACGUAUGCCGUUUUGCAUGUACUUUAUGAAUAAGGAUCGGCUAACUCCGUGCCAGCAGCCGCGGUAAUACGGAGGAUCCGAGCGUUAUCCGGAUUUAUUGGGUUUAAAGGGAGCGUAGAUGGUUGGUUAAGUCAGUUGUGAAAGUUUGCGGCUCAACCGUAAAAUUGCAAUUGAUACUGGCAGUCUUGAGUACAGUUGAGGUAGGCGGAAUUCGUGGUGUAGCGGUGAAAUGCUUAGAUAUCACGAAGAACCCCGAUUGCGAAGGCAGCUUACUAAACUGUGACUGACAUUGAUGCUCGAAAGUGUGGGUAUCAAACAGGAUUAGAUACCCCUGUAGUC